rnacentral:rRNA from 1 species
GCCAGACUCCUACGGGAGGCAGCAGUGGGGAAUAUUGCACAAUGGGGGAAACCCUGAUGCAGCGACGCCGCGUGAGUGAAGAAGUAUUUCGGUAUGUAAAGCUCUAUCAGCAGGGAAGAAGAAAGACGGUACCUGACUAAGAAGCCCCGGCUAACUACGUGCCAGCAGCCGCGGUAAUACGUAGGGGGCAAGCGUUAUCCGGAUUUACUGGGUGUAAAGGGGGCGCAGACGGCGAUGCAAGCCAGGAGUGAAAGCCCGGGGCCCAACCCCGGGACUGCUCUUGGAACUGCGUGGCUGGAGUGCAGGAGGGGCAGGCGGAAUUCCUGGUGUAGCGGUGAAAUGCGUAGAUAUCAGGAGGAACACCGGUGGCGAAGGCGGCCUGCUGGACUGCAACUGACGUUGAGGCCCGAAAGCGUGGGGAGCAAACAGGAUUAGAUACCCCAGUA